UAAGAACUGUUUGUGGAUGUUUUGGCUGAGUGGAUCAGCCUUUCAAUUCCUCGUCAUAGUGUAUUCGUCAGCUGUACUAGACCCAGGUGUAUAGUGCCAGUGGGCUGGAGGUGCAUUGAUCCGUCGUUGUGUCGUUGCCAGACCGAACUCUUCUGUAAUUUGGUCACGAUGCGAUAGUGUGUUUGUCGUCUCAGCAAACCUGACGGGACAUUGGAAUUCUGACAAAAGAAGGUGUCGACUUUCACUGGAGCGAAUUAGAGCGUUCCUUGUGUGCAGUUUACUGAAAAGGCAGGACUCUACUUGGUGUCAUGAUGCGUUUCGCCAUGUUGUUCAGCGUGAUACUUCUCAUCAUUCUGACUGUAAUAUCUCCAUUACAGGGGCAGACUGAAGAAGAUGAGGUGAUGGAAAUUGACCCUGUGAUGAUUGCCAUGUGCGAGGGCGUCUACGUUGGCCGUCGGUGCGGUGAGGAUAACUGCGGGUCUACCAAUGGAUGUACCGACUACCGCUGUAACCGGCUCUUCAACAGGUGCCAGUCGGACUUUGAAAGGAGGAUCUUCGACUAGACGACAACAUGACCAUGACAAAGUUGCAUCAUCUGAUCGUAGUCAACAGCAUGGGGGCAUGAACCUGCUCAUUUACAUAAGUGUAACGAAUAUUUAAAUUACAUACAUUCAUCAAAAUCUGUGAAUGUUGUCAAUUUGAAGAAACUAAAAUAUUUAACAAAUGUUUCCAAUACAAACAAGUUUUCGUUGUUUUUUCUGUAUCCUUAGUGCUGAGUUCUUAACAACCCCGUUCAGAUAAUUUUACUGAUAGAUUUACAAAUCUAACAAAAUGAUUAAAUCAAGACUCCAUAGGCCUAAUUUAUCAAAUAAACGAUUACGGACAAUUAUAGGUUUUGUUUUAUAAAGAAAUGG